rnacentral:rRNA from 1 species
AGAGUUUGAUCCUGGCUCAGGAUGAACGCUAGCGGCAGGCUUAACACAUGCAAGUCGAGGGGUAACGAUGGUUUCGGACAUUUGAUGAGAGUGGCGCACGGGUGAGUAACGCGUAUGCAACCUACCUUUAACAGGAAGAUAGCCCCGAGAAAUCGGGAUUAAUACUCCAUAACAUUAUUGUAUCGCAUGAUAUUAUAAUUAAAGCUUCGGUGGUAAUAGAUGGGCAUGCGUGACAUUAGCUAGAUGGUAAGGUAACGGCUUACCAUGGCAACGAUGUCUAGGGGUUCUAAAAGGAAGGUCCCCCACACUGGUACUGAGACACGGACCAGACUCCUACGGGAGGCAGCAGUGAGGAAUAUUGGUCAAUGGGCGCAAGCCUGAACCAGCCAUGCCGCGUGCAGGAAGACGGCCCUAUGGGUUGUAAACUGCUUUUCUGAAGGAAUAAACCUUUCUACGUGUAGAGAGCUGAAUGUACUUCAAGAAUAAGCACCGGCUAACUCCGUGCCAGCAGCCGCGGUAAUACGGAGGGUGCAAGCGUUAUCCGGAUUUAUUAGGUUUAAAGGGUCCGCAGGCGGACCUAUAAGUCAGUGGUGAAAUCCUGCAGCUCAACUGUAGAACUGCCAUUGAUACUGUAGGUCUUGAGUUUAGACGAGGUAGGCGGAAUAUAUAAUGUAGCGGUGAAAUGCUUAGAUAUUAUAUAGAACACCGAUUGCGAAGGCAGCUUACUAGACUAUAACUGACGCUCAUGGACGAAAGCGUGGGGAGCGAACAGGAUUAGAUACCCUGGUAGUCCACGCCGUAAACGAUGAUAACUCGAUGUUGGCAAUACACAGUCAGCGGCCAAGCGAAAGCGUUAAGUGAUGCACCUGGGGAGUACGGUCGCAAGAUUGAAACUCAAAGGAAUUGACGGGGGCCCGCACAAGCGGUGGAGCAUGUGGUUUAAUUCGAUGAUACGCGAGGAACCUUACCUGGGCUCAAACGUAGAGUGACCAUCUGUGAAAGCAGAUUUUCCUUCGGGACAUUUUGCAAGGUGCUGCAUGGUUGUCGUCAGCUCGUGCCGUGAGGUGUCAGGUUAAGUCCUAUAACGAGCGCAACCCCUAUCAUUAGUUGCCAUCAGGUUAAGCUGGGGACUCUAAUGAAACUGCCUACGCAAGUAGUGAGGAAGGUGGGGAUGACGUCAAAUCAGCACGGCCCUUACGUCCAGGGCUACACACGUGCUACAAUGGUCGAUACAGAGGGCAGCUACCACGCGAGUGGAUGCGAAUCUCGAAAGUCGGUCUCAGUUCGGAUCGAAGUCUGCAACUCGACUUCGUGAAGUUGGAUUCGCUAGUAAUCGCAUAUCAGCCAUGAUGCGGUGAAUACGUUCCCGGGCCUUGUACACACCGCCCGUCAAGCCAUGGAAGCUGGGAGUACCUAAAGUUCGUCACCGCAAGGAGCGACCUAGGGUAAAACUAGUAACUAGGGCUAAGUCGUAACAAGGUAGCCG